AGAGUUUGAUCCUGGCUCAGAACGAACGCUGGCGGCAUGCCUAACACAUGCAAGUCGAACGCCCCGCAAGGGGCGUGGCGCACGGGUGAGUAACGCGUGGGAACCUGCCCUUGAGUGGGGGAUAACCCGGCGAAAGCCGGGCUAAUACCGCAUACGUCCUGUUGUCGUGGAGAUGGCGGGAGAAAGAUUUAUCGCUCAAG
rnacentral:rRNA from 1 species